UGGGGAAUUUUGGACAAUGGGCGCAAGCCUGAUCCAGCAAUGCCGCGUGCAGGAUGAAGGCCUUCGGGUUGUAAACUGCUUUUGUACGGAGCGAAAAGGUCUGCCCUAAUACGGUGGGCUCAUGACGGUACCGUAAGAAUAAGCACCGGCUAACUACGUGCCAGCAGCCGCGGUAAUACGUAGGGUGCGAGCGUUAAUCGGAAUUACUGGGCGUAAAGCGUGCGCAGGCGGUUAUAUAAGACAGAUGUGAAAGCCCCGGGCUCAACCUGGGACCUGCAUUUGUGAAUGUAUAGCUAGAGUACGGUAGAGGGAGAUGGAAUUCCGCGUGUAGCAGUGAAAUGCGUAGAUAUGCGGAGGAACACCGAUAGCGAAGGCAAUCCCCUGGACCUGUACUGACUCUAAUGCACGAAAGCGUGGGGAGCAAACA
rnacentral:rRNA from 1 species